AGCAAAAAGGAAAACCUAGUGAAGACUAUCGUUGGUCUUGCUCCUUUCAUCAAGGAGUAGAGGGGCUGGGGUCGCCUCGGGACCCCACAGCGACCCCUCUUGCUCCCUUGGCGGAUGAGGCGCAGGCUGUCAGCCGGGAGGCCUGGCGGCGUCCAGACGACUUGUUUGCCUUAUGUUGUAAUCAAUAAGGAACGCCGGCCUAGGAAUCAGGCUGACCUGGGAUCCAGCUCCGCUCCUGUGAUGUCCUAUUUAAAUGUGUUUAAUCCUCCCUUACAAAAUAAAAAUAAUUGCGGCUACCACUUUUGACAUCUGCUGCAUUAAACAUACUUCA
rnacentral:lncRNA from 1 species